rnacentral:rRNA from 1 species
UACGGGGGGGCAAGCGUUGUUCGGAAUUACUGGGCGUAAAGGGCUCGUAGGUGGCCAACUAAGUCAGACGUGAAAUCCCUCAGCUUAACUGGGGAACUGCGUCUGAUACUGGAUGGCUUGAGUCCGGGAGAGGAUGGCGGAAUUCCCAGUGUAGAGGUGAAAUUCGUAGAUAUUGGGAAGAACACCGGUGGCGAAGGCGGCCAUCUGGACCGGCACUGACGCUGAGGCGCGAAAGCGUGGGGAGCAACAGG